AAAAGCCCAGGCGGAGGGGGAUGGCCUCGCGGCCCAUUAGGCAGUCGGCGGGGUAACGGCCCACCGAGCCGGCGAUGGGUAGCCGGGUUGAGAGACCGACCGGCCACAUUGGGACUGAGACACGGCCCAGACUCCUACGGGAGGCAGCAGUGGGGAAUUUUGCGCAAUGGGGGAAACCCUGACGCAGCAACGCCGCGUGCGGGACGAAGGCCCUCGGGUUGUAAACCGCUUUCAGCAGGGGAGAAACUGACGGUACCUGCAGAAGAAGCUCCGGCUAACUACGUGCCAGCAGCCGCGGUAAUACGUAGGGAGCGAGCGUUAUCCGGAUUCAUUGGGCGUAAAGCGCGCGUAGGCGGCCGGCUAAGUCGGGAGUCAAAGCCCGGGGCUCAACCCCGGCCCGCUCCCGAAACUGGCCGGCUUGAGUCUGGCAGGGGAAGGCGGAAUUCCCAGUGUAGCGGUGAAACGCGCAGAUAUUGGGAAGAACACCGGUGGCGAAGGCGGCCUUCUGGGCCACGACUGACGCUGAGGCGCGAAAGCUGGGGGAGCGAACAGGAUUAGAUACCCUGGUAGUCCCAGCCGUAAAUGAUGAUCACUAGGUGGGGGGGACACUGAGCUUCCGUGCCGAAGCCAACGCAUUAAGUGAUCCGCCUGGGGAGUGCGGCCGCAAGGCUAAAACUCAAAGGAAUUGACGGGGACCCGCACAAGCAGCGGAGCAUGUGGCUUAAUUAGAAGCAACGCGAAGAACCUUACCUGGCCUUGACAUGCAGGUGAAGCGGCGGAAACGCCGUGGCCGGAAGGAGCCUGCGCAGGUGGUGCAUGGCUGUCGUCAGCUCGUGUCGUGAGAUGUUAGGUUAAGUCCUGCAACGAGCGCAACCCCCGUCGCAUGUUGCCAGCAUCAAGUUGGGGAGUCAUGCGAGACUGCCGGCGUCAAGCCGGAGGAAGGUGGGGAGGACGUCAAGUCAUCAUGCCCCUUAUGGCCAGGGCCGCACACGUGCUACAUUGGCCGGUACAGAGGGCUGCGAACCCGCGAGGGCGAGCGAAUCCCGGAAAGCCGGCCCCAGUUCGGAUCGCAGGCUGCAACCCGCCUGCGUGAAGCCGGAGUUGCUAGUAAUCGCGGAUCAGCACGCCGCGGUGAAUAAAAUCCCGGGUCUUGUACU
rnacentral:rRNA from 1 species